rnacentral:lncRNA from 1 species
UCCGCCUGAGCACAGCACAAUAGGAGGGAGAUGUUGGUUGCUGCAACAGUGACAUGCAGGGGCGGAUGUACGUUGAAGGUGGAGUGGGCAGCUGUCCCCCAUGAAAUAACUACACCUAAGGCAAUUUAAUAUUGCCCCCAUUCAUUAUAACUAUUUUGCGACGGUCACUUUUUCUUUCGUUCACUGUUUUAGUUAAUUUAAUUAUUUUUACGUACGAUUGGGUUUGUCCGUUAAAUAUGAUGGCUAAUAAAUCUUUUUUUUUCAUUGUUUACUAAUAUCACUCAAUAGACACGCAUAUAAUAAUCUAUGGGGGUAAAUUUAGGCUAUUGCAAAGAUUGAGAUUCUAAAACUAUUGAAAC